rnacentral:rRNA from 1 species
UACAGAGGGGGCAAGCGUUGUUCGGAAUUACUGGGCGUAAAGGGCGCGUAGGCGGCCCUCUAAGUCAGACGUGAAAUCCCUCGGCUCAACCGGGGAACUGCGUCUGAGACUGGAGGGCUUGAAUUCGGGAGAGGGAUGUGGAAUUCCAGGUGUAGCGGUGAAAUGCGUAGAUAUCUGGAGGAACACCGGUGGCGAAGGCGGCAUCCUGGACCGAUAUUGACGCUGAUGCGCGAAAGCCAGGGGAGCAAACGGG